rnacentral:rRNA from 1 species
UGGGGAAUAUUGCACAAUGGGCGAAAGCCUGAUGCAGCAACGCCUCGUGAGUGAUGAAGGCCUUCGGGUUGUAAAGCUCUGUCUUCUGGGACGAUAAUGACGGUACCAGAGGAGGAAGCCACGGCUAACUACGUGCCAGCAGCCGCGGUAAUACGUAGGUGGCAAGCGUUGUCCGGAUUUACUGGGCGUAAAGGAUGCGUAGGCGGAUACUUAAGUCAGAUGUGAAAAUCCCGGGCUUAACUUGGGAACUGCAUUUGAAACUGGGUAUCUAGAGUGCGGGAGAGGAAAGUGGAAUUCCUAGUGUAGCGGUGAAAUGCGUAGAGAUUAGGAAGAACACCAGUGGCGAAGGCGACUUUCUGGACCAUCACUGACGCUGAGGCACGAAAGCGUGGGUAGCAAAC